AAAAAAACAACAACAACGGGGAUUCAGGAAACUCCCACCACCGCUGCCACCAAUGUAACCGAGCGUUCUGGGUUCGUGAAUACGCAAAACAAAACAACAACACUCACGUGCUCCCCAUGCCGUACAACCCAGCGAACUCUCGCUCUCCGGCAACUAGAAAGGACGCACCUUCUUCUUCUUUAUGUUUUUUUCUGGCGGUUGGCACGCAACGAAACGGUGCAUUACCGCCACCAACUGGUUUGGAGUGUGGAUCAGAAUGAAUUAUAAAUUAAACCAAACUACCAAAACAAACACCCCCAAAAAAAAUAAAAAAAAUAAAAAAUAAAAUCCUAUCAAUUAAAUUACUUAAUCUAAGAUAAUGAAACAUAAUCCCAUAACACUCAUCUCUUGAAUUACUUCUAAGCAUUUCUAUUAAAUCAAAUUUUAUUCUUUUCUUUUUUAAAUUUUUAACCAUUUCCCUUCUUUCUUCUUCAUAUUUCUUACAGUAUAUCAUAAUAUGCUCAACUGUUUCUUGUUCCCCACAAUAUUCACAUCUUCCAGUGUUAUGCUUCCCUAUUUUGAAUAAUGUUCCAUUUAAUCCUGUGUGCCCAAAUCUAUGUCUUGAUAUGAUUGUUUCUUCCCUUCUGCUACUCCCUGCACAACUUAUUUAUCCCACUCUCCUCUGAAUCAUGUACAGCCACCGUCCUUUCCUCUCUUCCUCCCAUUGCUUUUGCCACCUUUCCUUCAUCUUCUGUUUAAUAAUGCUCUUUACUUCCAUCUUACUAACUUUAAUUGAGAUAUCUAUGUUUUCUCUAAUUGUAGCCUCCUUUGCAACCUUAUCUGCCAUUUCAUUUCCUUUUAUUCCCAUAUGUGCUGGUACCCACAAAAAUAUAACUGUAAUUCCCAUCAUUUGAAUUCUGAACAAUGUUUGCUGGAUUUCUAUUAAAAUAUCUGGUCUACUAUCUGAAUGACUUCUCUGUAAACUGAUUAAUGAUGAAGAUGAAUCUGAACAAAUUAUUACUCUGAGAGGUCUUAUUUCCUCUACCCAUUGUACUGCCAACAGAAUUGCUACCAUUUCUCCUGUAUAUACUGAUAUGUUAUCACUGAUCCUCUUUCCUAUUGUAAUUUUAAACUCUGGAACAAUAACUGAUACUCCUAUCUUAUUAACUAAACUUUUUUGAUGCAUCUGUGUAUAUCUGAAUGAAACUAUAAUAACUGUUAAUAUAUUUCUGUAUUGUAUCUGAAUUCAAAAUAAACUCCCUAUCUUUGUU